AUCUAUGGCCAUACCACCCCAAACACACCCCAUCUUGUUUGAUCUCUGAAGCUAAGCAGGGUCGGGCCUGGUUAAAACUUGGAUAGGAGACUACCUGGGAAUACCAAGUGCUAUCGCUU
ensembl:rRNA 5S_rRNA 5S ribosomal RNA